rnacentral:rRNA from 1 species
GAUGAACGCUGGCGGCGUGCCUAAUACAUGCAAGUCGAGCGAACAGACGAGGAGCUUGCUCCUCUGACGUUAGCGGCGGACGGGUGAGUAACACGUGGAUAACCUACCUAUAAGACUGGGAUAACUUCGAGAAACCGGAGCUAAUACCGGAUAAUAUAUUGAACCGCAUGGUUCAAUAGUGAAAGACGGUUUUGCUGUCACUUAUAGAUGGAUCCGCGCCGCAUUAGCUAGUUGGUAAGGUAACGGCUUACCAAGGCGACGAUGCGUAGCCGACCUGAGAGGGUGAUCGGCCACACUGGAACUGAGACACGGUCCAGACUCCUACGGGAGGCAGCAGUAGGGAAUCUUCCGCAAUGGGCGAAAGCCUGACGGAGCAACGCCGCGUGAGUGAUGAAGGUCUUCGGAUCGUAAAACUCUGUUAUUAGGGAAGAACAAAUGUGUAAGUAACUAUGCACGUCUUGACGGUACCUAAUCAGAAAGCCACGGCUAACUACGU